rnacentral:rRNA from 1 species
GACGAACGCUGGCGGCGUGCUUAACACAUGCAAGUCGAACGGAAAGGCCCUGCUUUGGUGGGGUGCUCGAGGGGCGAACGGGUGAGUAACACGUGAGUAACCUGCCCUUGACUGUGGGAUAACUUCAUGAAACUGGGGCUAAUACCGGAUAGGAGCUCCUGCUGCAUGGUGGGGGCUGGAAAGUUUCGGCGGUUGGGGAUGGACUCGCGGCUUAUCAGCUUGUUGGAGGGGUAGUGUGUUAGCAAGGCUUGGACGGGUAGCCGGCCUGAGAGGGUGACCGGACACAUUGGGACUGAGAUACGGCACAGCCUACAACGGGAGGCAGCGGUGGGGAAUAGUGUACAAUGGGCGGAAGCCUGAUGUAGCAACGCCGCGUGCGGGAUGAGAGGCAUCGGGUUGUAAUCCGCUUUCGCCUGUGACGAAGCGAGAGUGACGGUAAUGGGUAAAGAAGCACCGGCUAACUCCGUG